AGUGAACGCUGGCGGUAGGCCUAACACAUGCAAGUCGAACGGCAGCACAGUAAGAGCUUGCUCUUACGGGUGGCGAGUGGCGGACGGGUGAGGAAUACAUCGGAAUCUACUUUUUCGUGGGGGAUAACGUAGGGAAACUUACGCUAAUACCGCAUACGACCUACGGGUGAAAGCAGGGGAUCUUCGUACCUUGCGCGAUUGAAUGAGCCGAUGUCGGAUUAGCUAGUUGGCGGGGUAAAGGCCCACCAAGGCGACGAUCCGUAGCUGGUCUGAGAGGAUGAUCAGCCACACUGGAACUGAGAAACGGUCCAGACUCCUACGGGAGGCAGCAGUGGGGAAUAUUGGACAAUGGGCGCAAGCCUGAUCCAGCCAUACCGCGUGGGUGAAGAAGGCCUUCGGGUUGUAAAGCCCUUUUGUUGGGAAAGAAAAGCAGCAGGUUAAUACCCCGCUGUUCUGACGGUACCCAAAGAAUAAGCACCGGCUAACUUCGUG
rnacentral:rRNA from 1 species